CCUACGGGCGACUGCAGUCGAGAAUCAUUCACAAUGGGGGAAACCCUGAUGGUGCGACGCCGCGUGGGGGAAUGAAGGUCUUCGGAUUGUAAACCCCUGUCAUGUGGGAGCAAAUUAAAAAGAUAGUACCACAAGAGGAAGAGACGGCUAACUCUGUGCCAGCAGCCGCGGUAAUACAGAGGUCUCAAGCGUUGUUCGGAAUCACUGGGCGUAAGGCGUGCGUAGGCUGUUUCGUAAGUCGUGUGUGAAAGGCGCGGGCUCAACCCGCGGACGGCACAUGAUACUGCGAGACUAGAGUAAUGGAGGGGGAACCGGAAUUCUCGGUGUAGCAGUGAAAUGCGUAGAUAUCGAGAGGAACACUCGUGGCGAAGGCGGGUUCCUGGACAUUAACUGACGCUGAGGCACGAAGGCCAGGGGAGCGAAAGGGAUUAGAUACCCCUGUAGUC
rnacentral:rRNA from 1 species